rnacentral:snoRNA from 1 species
AGCAGGCUCUAUCGAAGCUCGUAAUGAUUUAACACUGUAUCAUUGUGAGUCAAUAUGAAGCCGAAAUAAAAAUCUUUUCUUAUGGUCGCUAGAUCACAGCAAAUCUCCUGUCUUCUGGCAUUACCCAGGGAAAGAACAUUA